GCCACAAUGGCGUAAUGGUAGCGUGAGAGGCUGUGGCCCUCUAGGCCCGUGUUCGAUUCACGGUUGUGGCCC
rnacentral:tRNA from 1 species